AGUCAGACAGACAAAAAAAAGUCAUUCAAGAACCUUCGACCCAUCGGAGCGGUACGACUGAAUCUACAAUACUCUUUCGAGUGCGUGGGGUGUGUUUACAAAAGUGGGGCCUAGCGACCAACUUGAGGGUAUCGGAAUGGCCAAAGUUUUCGGGAGUGUACGGUUUAAGUAGUUUUUUGGAAGUUAUUUUCUGCGAUAGUUGAGGGCAAGGCAGGAAAAGUUGGAAUUUAGUGAUACCAUAUGUGAGUGUGGUGUGUGCGGGCGUGUAAACUCGGCGGCCCGAUAACGUUGUGUAAUAUAUGUUUAGUAGGCAGUCAUCGGCUCUUAAUACACAAGGGAGUCGGCUGAGUUUUAAUUAAGUCGAACAAAGAACGACGACAGAUCGAACGAUGGAGGAGGACUCGAAACUGCAACCAAACGCACCAUCAUCACCGACAGAUACCGCAAUCCAGAUUUCACCAGCGGCCGGCGAAGAAGAGGUAGUAGCUGCUGCUGCUACUAAUAGCUAUGAUAAGAGCAAGGUUGAAGACCCUUCAGCUGACGCUGACAGGCUGUACAAAUCGGUGGAAAACAUGGACGACUACGGCGAAUCGACGGGUCUGCUGGAGCAGCAGGUGGCGUCGGUUCGGUUGCCGAUCGUCGGCAUGACGUGCCAGUCGUGCGUGAAGAACAUCGAGGGGAACAUCAGCGGGAAGCUGGGAAUCAUCAAGAUCAGCGUGAUCUUGGCGGAGAACGCCGGCUACGUGGACUACGACCCGACGCUGACCGAUCCGGUGCAGAUUGCUGCGGAUAUUGACGAUAUGGGGUUCGAGUGUACGUACAGUGACGAGCGGAGUUCCGGCUUCCGAGAGGCUCGAAUCAGCAUAGAAGGUAUGACGUGCCAAUCGUGCGUGCGAAACAUCGAAGGAAACAUCAAAGACAAAGCCGGGAUCGUGUCUAUCAAGGUUCUGCUGGAUCAAAAGCUUGGGAUUGUAGAGUACGAUUCUAGGGUGACGAAUCCGGAGCAGAUCGCGGAACAGAUAGACGACAUGGGAUUUGAGGCGAAGGUUGCCACUGCCAGCGAUGGCGCGAACCAAAAGACUGACAGAGACCAGAGUCCGGCCAAAGGCCGAUCAGCCCGUUCGGAGAAGUUGAUCUCAAUCGACGAGGGUGGCCUCACUACUCCGAACGGGAACGGCAAGCAGGUCCAACUGAAGGACGCCUACAAGCGAUGCUUCCUGCACGUAGAAGGGAUGACGUGCGCCAGUUGUGUGAUGGCGAUCGAGAAGCACUGCAAGAAGAUCUACGGUGUCGAGUCCAUCCUGAUUGCACUGCUAGCGGCGAAAGCCGAGGUCAAGUACGACGAUGCGUUGACGGGACCCGCAGAUAUUGCCAAAUCUAUCACCGAUCUCGGCUUCCCGACAGAGGUGAUCGACGAACCCGGAACGGGGGAAGCCGAGGUCGAGAUCGAAAUCCUCGGCAUGACGUGCGGCUCGUGCGUGAACAAAAUCGAGCAGACAGUGCUGAAACUUCCAGGCGUUCUCAAAGCUUCCGUAGCGCUCACAAUAAAACGGGGACGAUUCACGUUCAACAACGAAAAGACUGGCGCUCGGACGAUAUGCGAAGCGAUACAAGCGCUCGGCUUCCAGGCAACCGUACUGAACAACAAGGACAAGAUGGCACACAGCUACCUCGAGCACAAGGAAGAGAUCCGGAAGUGGCGCAACGCGUUCCUCAUUUCGCUCGCCUUCGGAGGUCCCUGCAUGAUCGCCAUGAUCUACUUCAUGGUCCUGAUGGAAACGCACAGCCACGAGGAGAUGUGCUGCGUACUGCCGGGCCUGUCCAUGGAGAACCUCAUCAUGUUCGUGCUCUCCACCCCAGUGCAAUUCUUCGGUGGCUGGCACUUUUACAUCCAGGCGUACCGAGCGGUCAAACACGGCGCCAGCAACAUGGACGUGCUGAUCACGAUGGCCACCACCGUCAGCUACAUCUACUCCGUCGGCGUCCUGAUCCCGGCGAUGGUCAUGGGCAUGAAAACCUCCCCGUUGACCUUCUUCGACACACCGCCAAUGCUGUUCAUAUUCAUCUCGCUUGGACGCUGGCUGGAGCACAUCGCGAAGGGAAAGACCUCGGAAGCACUGUCCAAGCUGCUCUCGCUGAAGGCUACUGACGCUGUGCUGGUAACACUAGGCGAUGACUACGAAGUACUCUCCGAGAAGAUCAUCCCGGUGGAUCUGGUUCAGCGAGGGGACGUCCUGAAGGUCGUGCCAGGUAGCAAGGUCCCCGUUGAUGGGAAGGUCCUCUGCGGCAACUCGACUUGCGACGAGAGUCUCAUCACCGGAGAAUCGAUGCCGGUUCCAAAGAAAAAGAACUCGGUCGUUAUCGGUGGUUCAAUCAACCAGAAUGGUCUACUGCUGGUGACGGCAACGCACACCGGAGAGAACACCACCCUCGCACAAAUCGUCAAACUCGUUGAAGAAGCUCAAACUUCGAAGGCACCAAUUCAGCAGCUAGCGGACAAGAUCGCCGGCUACUUCGUACCGUUCGUGCUGGCCGUAUCGGCCGUCACGCUGAUCGGUUGGACCAUCAGCGGGUACAUCGAUAUCAACCACAUCCCGAUGUCGGAUGCCGCCAAGGAGGGACUGAACAGAGAGGAAAUCAUCUUUAGUUACGCGUUCCGCUGUGCGUUGAGUGUGCUAGCGAUUGCGUGUCCUUGCGCGUUGGGUCUCGCAACUCCAACCGCCGUGAUGGUCUCAACCGGGGUUGGAGCUCUGCACGGAAUUCUGGUGAAGGGAGCUGGACCGCUGGAAAACGCCCACAAAGUGAAGACGAUCGUGUUUGACAAGACGGGCACGAUCACGUACGGAAUGCCCAUGACUUCGCGGGUCUGCAUGUUUGUGAAGCCGCAGAUUUGUUCGCUGGGGCGUGCCCUCAGCAUAAUUGGGUCGGCCGAGGUCAACAGUGAACAUCCGAUCGCGACGGCGGUGGUGAAGUUUGUGAAGGAAGCGCUCGAGGUGGACGCGUUUGCCAAGUGUGGAAAUUUUAUGGCUGUUCCAGGGUGUGGGAUUCGCUGUGUGAUUUCCAACGUUGAAGGAAUCUUGAGGGAGGGAAUGCGCUCGGAGAAGAUUAAAAACCACCAGAACUCGUACAAAAAUGACUCCAACGCCAUCAGUUUCAUGAACGGAGCGGUCGUUGAGGAACUUAUCCCGCAGCUUAGUCCUUCGCAGAAGAAUACGAUCGAGUUGCAGCAGCUGCUACAGCUGGAGUCCAGCGACGCUGAAAACGAGAACGUCGAAGGAUUUUCGCAGGUCAACGAGUACAACGUGCUGAUCGGUAACCGGGAGUGGAUGAACCGGAAUGCCAUCAUCGUUCCACCGGAGAUAAACAUCAAGAUGACCGAAGAGGAACAGAUGGGAAAUACCGCGAUUCUGUGUGCCAUCAACAGCCAGCUGGUUUGCAUGGUUUCCGUGUCCGAUAUGGUCAAACCGGAAGCCCAUCUGGCGGUUUAUACGCUGAAGAAGAUGGGCAUCGAGGUGAUCCUGCUAACCGGUGACAACAAGAACACCGCCGGGAACAUUGCCCGCCAGGUGGGCAUCAACCGGGUGUUUGCCGAGGUGCUUCCGUCGCACAAGGUCGCCAAGAUCCAGCGGAUACAGGAGCACGGGAUGCGGGUGGCAAUGGUCGGCGAUGGUGUGAACGACAGUCCCGCGUUGGCCCAGGCCGACGUCGGGAUCUCGAUCGCGUCUGGAACGGACGUGGCUGCCGAAGCGGCGGAUGUCGUGUUAAUGAGGAACGACCUGCUGGACGUGGUCGCCUGUCUGGAUCUGUCGCGCAAGACCGUCCGGAAGAUUCAUCUCAACUUCCUGUUUGCCAGCAUGUACAAUCUGCUGGGAAUCCCGCUGGCGGCGGGAAUUUUCACGCCAUUUGGAUUCAUCUUGCAGCCCUGGAUGGCCUCGGCGGCGAUGGCCCUCAGCUCGGUGUCCGUGGUGUGUUCCUCGCUGCUCCUUAAGCUGUACAAAAAGCCCACAAAGGCGGCCCUCCAAACGCCCGAGUACAUGGCCCUCAUCGAGGCAGGCGCGCUGCUCGAUCCGGAAACCGUUUCCGUGCACCGCGGUCUGGACGAUAUUCCACGGCCCAACUUUGGCCGCUCCACCAGUUCCACGUUGGCCAAGUAUGAUGCGCCCUUGGGUGUUACUUUUCGGUAGAAAAAUCGGCAAGCUUUUUGGGUAGAGUAGCGCAAGCAAUGUUGGUGCGCGUGGGUGUGUUGACUCGCUUCUAGACUGUUUGGCGCCACCAGCAAGGUCAGCACCGAGGACCGUCUGCUCGCUUCGGCGGCCAUGAUCGACGAGGACGAGCUGAGCGGCGGCUUCAGCAAGCCGAUCAACGCCAGCGCUGGCGACAUCUACCGG
rnacentral:misc_RNA from 1 species